CAGGCCUUAGACAUGCAAGUCGAACGGUAACAGCGGAGCUUGCUCCGGCUGACGAGUGGCGGACGGGUGAGUAACGCGUAGGAAUCUACCCAGUAGCCGGGGGAUAGCCCGGGGAAACCCGGAUUAAUACCGCAUACGCCCCAUGGGGGGAAAGAGGGCCUCUUCUUGAAAGCUCUCACUAUUGGAGGAGCCUGCGUUGGAUUAGCUAGUUGGUGGGGUUAAAGGCUCACCAAGGCUACGAUCCAUAGCUGGUCUGAGAGGACGAUCAGCCACACUGGAACUGAGACACGGUCCAGACUCCUACGGGAGGCAGCAGUCAGGAAUAUUGUGCAAUGGGGGAAACCCUGACACAGCCAUGCCGCGUGUGUGAAGAAGGCCCUAGGGUUGUAAAGCACUUUCAGUAGGGAGGAACUAGCAGGGCUAAUACCUCUGUGAAAUGACGUUACCUACAGAAGAAGAUCCGGCUAACUCCGUG
rnacentral:rRNA from 1 species